rnacentral:rRNA from 1 species
CACGGCGCACGGGUGCGUAACACGUGGGCAAUCUGCCCUCCGAUGGGGAAUAACUCCGGGAAACCGAAGCUAAUUCCGCAUAACAUUCCCUGGACUCCGGUUUGGGGAUUCAAAGCAGCAAUGCGUCGGAGGAGGAGCCCGCGCCCGAUUAGCUAGUUGGUGAGGUAACGGCUCACCAAGGCUAUGAUCGGUAGCUGGUCUGAGAGGAUGGCCAGCCACACUGGAACUGAGACACGGUCCAGACUCCUACGGGAGGCAGCAGUGGGGAAUCUUGCGCAAUGGGCGAAAGCCUGACGCAGCGACGCCGCGUGGGGGAUGAAGCUUCUCGGAGUGUAAACCCCUUUCGACUGGGACGGAUGCCCGCAAGGGAGUGACGGUACCGGUAGAAGAAGCCCCGGCUAACUACGUGCCAGCAGCCGCGGUAAGACGUAGGGGGCCAGCGUUGUUCGGAAUUACUGGGUGUAAAGGGUUCGUAGGCGGUGUGGCAAGUCGGGAGUGAAAUUUCUGGGCUUAACUCAGAACCUGCUUCCGAAACUGCUGUGCUGGAGUGUGGGAGAGGCGCGUGGAAUUGCAGGUGUAGCGGUGAAAUGCGUAGAUAUCUGCAGGAACACCCGUGGCGAAAGCGGCGCGCUGGACCACUACUGACGCUGAGGAACGAAAGCUAGGGGAGCAAACAGGAUUAGAUACCCUGGUAGUCCUAGCCCUAAACGAUCAGGACUUGGGGUGCCACCCGUUCGGGUGUCGUCCCGGAGCUAACGCGUUAAGUCCUGCACCUGGGGAGUACGGUCGCAAGACUGAAACUCAAAGGAAUUGACGGGGGCCCGCACAAGCGGUGGAACAUGUGGUUCAAUUCGA